GCAAGUGCUGUUCAGGAACUUUCUGUGCAGGACUGGAUGGAGCGAAGGGCAAGCUUGAGGAUGACCAUCCAGGAAGAAGAACUGUUGGAGUGCUACUUUAAGAACAUCCGCCCAGUGUCAUUACAAAACCAAAGAGCUGGCAGUGAUGACGGG